rnacentral:rRNA from 1 species
UGGGGAAUCUUGCGCAAUGGGCGAAAGCCUGACGCAGCGACGCCGCGUGAGGGAAGAAGGCCUUCGGGUUGUAAACCUCUUUCAGGAGGGACGAAGCCACUCGGGUUAAUACCCCAGAGGGUGACGGUACCUCCAGAAGAAGCCCCGGCUAACUACGUGCCAGCAGCCGCGGUAAUACGUAGGGGGCAAGCGUUGUCCGGAAUUAUUGGGCGUAAAGCGCGUGUAGGCAGCCAGAUAAGUCCGCUGUGAAAUCUCGAGGCUCAACUUCGAGCUGUCGGUGGAAACUGUCUGGCUAGAGUCCGGAAGAGGAGAAUGGAAUUCCUGGUGUAGCGGUGAAAUGCGCAGAUAUCAGGAAGAACACCCGUGGCGAAGGCGGUUCUCUGGGACGGUACUGACGCUGAGACGCGAAAGCGUGGGGAGCGAACAGG